UACGUAGGGGGCUAGCGUUGUCCGGAAUCAUUGGGCGUAAAGCGCGUGUAGGCGGCCUGGUAAGUCCGCUGUGAAAGUCGGGGGCUCAACCCUCGGAUGCCGGUGGAUACUGUCGGGCUCGAGUACGGAAGAGGCGAGUGGAAUUCCUGGUGUAGCGGUGAAAUGCGCAGAUAUCAGGAGGAACACCGAUUGCGAAGGCAGCUCGCUGGGACGUGACUGACGCUGAGACGCGAAAGCGUGGGGAGCAAACAGG
rnacentral:rRNA from 1 species